ensembl:lncRNA
AAGUAAACAGUCUUCCAGCCAACCCAGGUGGCCUUGCAUGGAAUGGGAAGGAACAGACUCAACACAGUCGUUAUCAGGGAGUUGUUGUUCAGCUCCAGCCUUGCAGCUGGCACCAAAGGGGUAUCCGCAUGAAGUGAUGGUGCUUUUUACUUUAGUGCGAACAGCUCAUAUGAAUUUCAAAGCAGUUCUACAGUCCAACACUGGUCUCUCAAUCUCCCGUUGGAGAGCCGCGAGCUUCGUCAUACUUGCGUUCUGUGAUGUUGUCAUUCUUGUGCUCAAUGAGCCCAUUUUGAGAAACUCACGCCUCUCCCAUCGUUCCAAUCCCAGCGGGCAGCCUUGUGGAGGUUUGAACAGCCGGUUCCGCUUUCUCAAGCCAGCUCCGAUCAGCCAGAACCCUGUUAUCAUGGUUCCGAAUAGGUAGAUAUCUUCAGCACUCAGGCUCACCCGAGCCCAAACUUCUCGUUGAGAAAGGGGUGUCAAUUGCAUUUAAGGACCAGUUGAUCCAACCCAUAAUUCCUCUUUUAGGUUUUAGAGAACAGACUGUGAGAGAGUGUUCCAGGGAAAAUACAAAAAAAAAAACCCACGAGACUAGACAAGGACAUAAGAGGCUAACCAGGGAAGCUAAGGGAGAGGAGGAGGAGGAGGAGAAAAGUGCAACCGCCUUCAUCAAGAGCAAGAGUAAAAAAAAAAAACGCAGGAAGCUGUGUAAAUUCCACCAGGGGUCCAACAUGAACUGAGGCCUCCUGUUCAGGGUAGGCCCUGGUCAGAGUUUCAGUCUCCGUGGGGUUAGCAGCACUAAGAACUGUCUCUAAUACUAAAUGCUCUGACUCAGGAAAAUAGUCAGUGGCAGAAUCUGUGUCUAAACACUCAGAACUUUUAAUUGGAUGGGAAACAGAGGAAACUAAAACAGCAUUCACAAUUACCUGCGCCCUAGUGCAAAACACAGUACCAGUUACAAUACAAUGAACUGAUUUGACUGAAAAACCAGUUGUUAUGGAUAAUACUAUUGCAGUAGUUGUGAAGCUAGGCGAGCAUCUCCUCCUCUGAGGCAAAACUUGAGUGUGCUGGGUCCUAACAAAAUAAGACAGGAAGCAGACCGACAGAGACUCAGACUCUAGACACAAUGACAGGGGAGACAAGAGUAACCAUGGGGACAAGACUGACUAAAGAAGAUUAGGCACUGAGGGAAGGAUAGCUAAGCUCACUUAAGAAACCCACAUUAAACAUGACGAAAGAAUAACCAUGAACAUAAGAAUCACAGUGAAUAUUCAAAAGCAAACAGCCAGAACACUAGAAAACACAGACCCAGUGCCACAAUACUUCUAUUGUUUUCACGGAGUGGCCAUUGGUGUGUUUGGCUGCCGCUGUUCUCACUUUAUAUUGACUCUUUAAUUGUGUUUUUAUUUUGCUGUACAGUGGGCCCUCGCUAUAACACGGUUCACCUUUCGCGGCCUCGCUAUUUCAUGUAUUUUUUUUUGUGCAAUUUUGCAUGGUUUUUUUUUGGUUGGUUGGUUUUCUUUGUUUUUAGUUUUUUGUACGACCUAUUGUGUUCUGCGUCCUGAUUGGCUGUAGACCAUUGUCAGUCAAUCCCGUGUUGUGUCUCCUGUACAGUACCGAAUGCGUUCAGCUUGUCAAAUUUAUAUAAAUCUUUGAUCCCUAGCAGCGUGACUCUGAAGUGCUGGACUGUAUGUUUGUAAGUUUUCUCCCCAACAAACAACAAUGUCGACAAAACGUCGUCACCUGCAGGUGCCUUUGGUUUCAUUCUAUAAUACUGGACUCAUUCUUUCUACGAAGGUUUGAACUUUGAGAGUUUAAAAUGUUCCUGCCUGUCUGAGAAAAGAGUAUGUAGUGUGUAGUGAGGGGUUUUACAGCCUUAAAACAUCUAUAAUAAUUGUAAAAGAUAAAGUUGGCUACUUCACGGAUUUCACUUGUCGCGGGUUAUUUUUGGAACGUAACUCCCGCGAUAAACGAGGGACCGCUGUACUAAUGUAAUGUGACCUUGAGGGUUCUGUUUCUGAUUAAAGCGCGUCUAAAUAAAAUGUAUAAUAUAACAAUGUGUGUGCUAAAAUGUGUAAGUGUAAGAAGGAAAAUGUGUAAAUAUAAAAAUUACAAUAAAACUAUGCAUGUAUGUGAAAGUAGAACGCAUGUACGUGAGAGCGAAAGAAUGAGUUUUGGCUUGUACGGCUCUUCAUAUUACAAAUGUGUAAAUGUUAACUAACUAGUAGCAUCCAGAACAAGAAGCGGGGAGUACAAGAGAGUUCCACUGAAUUUUAUCCUGGGAAACAGCUCACUUCCUGUAAGACUUCACAUGUCAGAGUUGUAUAUCCCUAUUCUGAAAAGUACCAGAUAGCUUCUUUUCUUUGAAACUGAAGCCCCUGAGGAACUUUCUUAAACCUGCAUAUGUUUUCAUAAAUACCAGGCAGUCAUGCCUUUGGUUUCACAAUGACUAAUAGAAAGUCCUGUUGAAGUAUAGUAGUAAGUAGUAGUCAGAGCUCUACUCUGACCUCAGUAAGCACCCC